GUGAACGCUGGCGGUAGGCCUAACACAUGCCAGUCGAACGGCAGCACAGUAAGAGCUUGCUCUUACGGGUGGCGAGUGGCGGACGAGUGAGGAAUACAUCGGAAUCUACUUUUUCGUGGGGGAUAACGUAGGGAAACUUACGCUAAUACCGCAUACGACCUACGGGUGAAAGCAGGGGAUCUUCGGACCUUGCGCGAUUGAAUGAGCCGAUGUCGGAUUAGCUAGUUGGCGGGGUAAAGGCCCACCAAGGCGACGAUCCGUAGCUGGUCUGAGAGGAUGAUCAGCCACACUGGAACUGAGACACGGUCCAGACUCCUACGGGAGGCAGCAGUGGGGAAUAUUGGACAAUGGGCGAAAGCCUGAUCCAGCCAUACCGCGUGGGUGAAGAAGGCCUUCGGGUUGUAAAGCCCUUUUGUUGGGAAAGAAAAGCAGCAGGUUAAUACCCCGCUGUUCUGACGGUACCCAAAGAAUAAGCACCGGCUAACUUCGUG
rnacentral:rRNA from 1 species